GGGUUGUGAGGUUAAGCGACUAAGCGUACACGGUGGAUGCCCUGGCAGUCAGAGGCGAUGAAGGACGUGCUAAUCUGCGAUAAGCGUCGGUAAGGUGAUAUGAACCGUUAUAACCGGCGAUUUCCGAAUGGGGAAACCCAGUGUGAUUCGUCACACUAUCAUUAACUGAAUCCAUAGGUUAAUGAGGCGAACCGGGGGAACUGAAACAUCUAAGUACCCCGAGGAAAAGAAAUCAACCGAGAUUCCCCCAGUAGCGGCGAGCGAACGGGGAGCAGCCCAGAGCCUGAAUCAGUGUGUGUGUUAGUGGAAGCGUCUGGAAAGGCGCGCGAUACAGGGUGACAGUCCCGUACACAAAAAUGCACAUACUGUGAGCUCGAUGAGUAGGGCGGGACACGUGGUAUCCUGUCUGAAUAUGGGGGGACCAUCCUCCAAGGCUAAAUACUCCUGACUGACCGAUAGUGAACCAGUACCGUGAGGGAAAGGCGAAAAGAACCCCGGCGAGGGGAGUGAAAAAGAACCUGAAACCGUGUACGUACAAGCAGUGGGAGCACAGAGCAAUCUGUGUGACUGCGUACCUUUUGUAUAAUGGGUCAGCGACUUAUAUUCUGUAGCAAGGUUAACCGAAUAGGGGAGCCGAAGGGAAACCGAGUCUUAACUGGGCGUUAAGUUGCAGGGUAUAGACCCGAAACCCGGUGAUCUAGCCAUGGGCAGGUUGAAGGUUGGGUAACACUAACUGG
rnacentral:rRNA from 1 species